GAUGAACGCUGGCGGCGUGCCUAAUACAUGCAAGUCGAGCGAACGGACGAGAAGCUUGCUUCUCUGAUGUUAGCGGCGGACGGGUGAGUAACACGUGGAUAACCUACCUAUAAGACUGGGAUAACUUCGGGAAACCGGAGCUAAUACCGGAUGAUAUUUUGAACCGCAUGGUUCAAAAGUGAAAGACGGUCUUGCUGUCACUUAUAGAUGGAUCCGCGCUGCAUUAGCUAGUUGGUAAGGUAACGGCUUACCAAGGCAACGAUGCAUAGCCGACCUGAGAGGGUGAUCGGCCACACUGGAACUGAGACACGGUCCAGACUCCUACGGGAGGCAGCAGUAGGGAAUCUUCCGCAAUGGGCGAAAGCCUGACGGAGCAACGCCGCGUGAGUGAUGAAGGGCUUCGGAUCGUAAAACUCUGUUAUUAGGGAAGAACAUAUGUGUAAGUAACUGUGCACAUCUUGACGGUACCUAAUCAGAAAGCCACGGCUAACUACGUG
rnacentral:rRNA from 1 species